rnacentral:rRNA from 1 species
GAAAGAGAGCCGUAACACAGGUGCUGCAUGGCUGUCGUCAGCUCGUGUCGUGAGAUGUUGGGUUAAGUCCCGCAACGAGCGCAACCCUUGUCAUUAGUUGCCAUCAUUUGGUUGGGCACUCUAAUGAGACUGCCGGUGACAAACCGGAGGAAGGUGGGGAUGACGUCAAGUCCUCAUGGCCCUUAUGGGUAGGGCUUCACACGUCAUACAAUGGUCGGUACAGAGGGUUGCCAACCCGCGAGGGGGAGCUAAUCCCACAAAGCCGAUCGUAGUCCGGAUCGCAGUCUGCAACUCGACUGCGUGAAGUCGGAAUCGCUAGUAAUCGUGGAUCAGCAUGUCACGGUGAAUACGUUCCCGGGUCUU